GUUGAGUUCAUUAUUUAUUUUGAUUGUUUUACUUUUUCUUGUGAGAAUUAUAUUUAUUUUUAUUAGGGUCUUUUGAACAAAUUUUUUUUUUUGAUAGUUUAUUAUACUGUGAAGGAUUUGAUUUAUUUAUAUAAAAGAAGAUUUUUUUUGUUGUACCUUGUGUAUCAGGGUUGAUUAAAUUAAUUUUAAGAAUUUAAGUUUCCCGAAUUUAAAGGAGCUAAAGUAUCAUGAAUUUUGUUGUUGAAUAAACAUUUAUAAUGAUAUUUUUGAAAUGAAACGUUAUUCGUCUUUAAUUAUAUCUGGUUUUCUCAGAAAUUAAUUCAAUUAAUUUUAUUUUUAAGGUAAAAAUUAUUUUUAUUUUUUCUUUAAUAUAAUUUAAUGUUCAAAGGGAUAAGCUUUUGAUCAAAUUUUAAUAAGUAUUAAUUUUUAAGGAUUUUUUAUAGGAUUAGAAUUUUCCAUUAUUUUUAGUAUGUUAUAGUUAUUUAUCUUUAAUAUAUUAUUUUUAUUUUCUUUUAUUUUUUUAUGGGAAGGUUUAAAUUAAUUUUAAUUUUAUAGUUAUUAUGGUUAAAUUAGUAUAAUUUUUUGUAACUUUAUUUUUAAUUGUGAGGUUAAAGUAAGGAAUUCGGCAAAUUUAAUUUUCACCUGUUUAGUAAAAACAUGGCUUUUUGUUUAUAAUUUAAGGUCUGGCCUGCCCAAUGAUUAUUUAAAUGGCCGCAGUAUUUUGACUGUGCAAAGGUAGCAUAAUCAUUAGUUUCUUAAUUAGGAGCUGGUAUGAAUGGUCUGAUGAAAAAUUAACUGUCUCACUUUAAAUUUUUUAGAAUUUUAUUUUUAAGUUAAAAAGCUUAAAUUUUAUAUAAAGACGAGAAGACCCUAUAGAGUUUUAUACAAUUUUUUGAUAUUGAUUUGAUGUUUUUGUUUUCUUUUUCUUUUAGUUGUAUUUUGUUGGGGUGACAGAAAAAUUUAUGAAACUUUUUUUUUCGUUUACACAGAUGUGUGAUUUUUUUGAUCCUAUUUUUUAGAUUAUAAGAUUAAAUUACCUUAGGGAUAACAGCGUAAUUUUUUUUGAAAGUUCAUAUUGACAAAAAAGUUUGCGACCUCGAUGUUGGAUUAAAAUUAAGUUUCGGUGUAGCAGCUGAACACUUGGGUCUGUUCGACCUUUAAAAUUUUACAUGAUCUGAGUUUAGACCGGCGUGAGCCAGGUUGGUUUCUAUCUUUUAUUAUUUUUAAUAUUUUAGUACGAAAGGACCAUUUAUUAAAAUUAUAUUUUGUUUUUGAAUAUUAUU
rnacentral:rRNA from 1 species